rnacentral:rRNA from 1 species
GACGAACGCUGGCGGCGUGCUUAACACAUGCAAGUCGAACGGUAAGGCCUCUUCGGGGGUACACGAGUGGCGAACGGGUGAGUAACACGUGAGUAACCUGCCCUUGACUUUGGGAUAACAUCUGGAAACAGGUGCUAAUACCGGAUAUGAGCUUGUCCUGCAUGGGAUGGGUUGGAAAGCUCAGGCGGUCAUGGAUGGACUCGCGGCCUAUCAGCUUGUUGGUGAGGUAAUGGCUCACCAAGGCUUCGACGGGUAGCCGGCCUGAGAGGGCGACCGGCCACAUUGGGACUGUGAUACGGCACAAACUCCUACGGGAGGCAGCAGUGGGGAAUAUUGCACAAUGGGCGGAAGCCUGAUGCAGCAACGCCGCGUGCGGGAUGACGGCCUUCGGGUUGUAAACCGCUUUCAGCAGGGACGAAGCGUGAGUGACGGUACCUGCAGAAGAAGCACCGGCUAACUACGUGCCAGCCGCCGCAGUAAUAC